CAAAAAAAUAAUAAUAAAAAAUUGAUAUUAUAAAAGCAUGAAAUCAAAUCCAACCGAACAGCUAAACGACUCUUGUUGUGCUGUGUAAGAGAAUCUCCUCUCCCAUCAAUUUCGUAAAUUCGACAUAACAGCGGAUAUCUUGUAAUCUAAGUGUUGGGAUAUGAUUAUGGCAGAAGCUUCUGAUCAGGCAACAAGUGUUUGCAAUCACUGUGACCGAUUAAUACCUAUUUCAAAUAUUGACUCACACUAUGCUUACUGCUCCCGGAAUCUUGUAAAAUGCGAAGUCUGUGCUGAUAUGGUGCCUAGGAAACUUAUUGAGGAACAUUUCUUACGCACCCAUGCAUCUGUACUCGAUGCAAUCAAAUGGCCUUUCUCCAAGGACACACAGGGAACUGAAAGAGCACGUGGUCCUCGAAGAAGACAUCCCCCAGAGUUCUCCCCAAAACGCCUUAUGUACAGUAUAGCAGUAACCGGAGUUGCUGUGCUAUUGGGGUCGGUGUUUAUAGGGUGGAGGGGUUACGGCAGACCAUAACAUUUGCAGUGAAAGCCUUGUUAUUCCCUUCCAGAGCAUUAGCAGUGACGGCCAAAAGUGAUUCAUUGGCACUUGCAGAUCCCCAUCCACCAUCAAUUUGACUUUGGUGCUUUGUAAUUGCACAUUCAAUUUCGAACUACUUAUUAUGUAAAACUGUAUCUACUGAAGGCAUAUUCUAAAAAUCUUGAGAAAAAUGUGGAUAUAUUCAGAUUCUCCUUAUGUUUA